UAAUGACCUUAGAAAGUAUUUAGAGUGCGAUGGAUGUCUGAUUAAACAGCACAUAGAAAAUACUGAUGUCUUUCAAAACAUACUAACUGCACAAAAGUGCUGUACUUAGGUUUCAACAUCUCUACCAGGAUAGGUAGAGAGACCUUUUUAAACCAGAAAGUGAACACUUUAGAUGAUGGGCUCUCAGAAAGACACAGGGCUCCAGCAAGCUAGUGAGCAGCAGCAAUCUUACCUGGUGAGGAUUUUAGGAAUCUGCAAAAACUCAGACACACCAGGUUUAGUAACACUGAGUAUUUAUUUUGUUAAUUGAGCCACACUCAAAAAACACUGAAGUCUUAAAAUUGGAAAAUAAACAAGUUUAUUUGACAUUUGGCUGGGAUGUGGAAGUCUAACAUGUGAUACAAAAGAAGCAGUUCAAAACUGACUGUCAUGAAGAGAGCUGUAUUAAAGAAAAAAAAAGGAUUGUCUUCCAGCUGCUUUCAUUGUUAUUUCCUCUCCAGGAAUUUCUUAUUAGUUCUUGGAAUCACUAGGGAACUGCAAAGUUGACUAUCAAAAGAACAAAGAGGUAUAUAUAGGGAGAAGGUCAGCCAUGUGAUAGGACUUGAUCUUUGUAGAUCCUUCUUCCCUUCAGUCUCUGGAAUUCAGAUGUCUUAAAUCUGUGGUCCAAGAGAGAGAACUGUUUGCAAUUAGAUGAGUAUUUCUCUGUUACUGCUACAAAAAUAAAUAUUCCAUGUUACAUAUUAAAAGAAUAUUGCCCUUCAGCCAGGGACACAAUUAUUUCACUGAAUAUGACAUGAAUUUGGCUUUGUCUCUUUUUCAGAACUAUUUUACUUGAAAGCAUAUUCUUUUGAUUAUAAAUUUAUACAGCUGUUUGUUACUUACAAAAGACAUGGAUUUUAUUAUGCUUUUUAAAUGUAAGCAAAAAAUAAUUCAAUAAGGCAGAGUCAAAUCUGUGAAGAAAUGUGUUUUUAAAACUUUUUGCUAUUGGUCACUGGUAGCAAAGAGACAAACUAUGUCCAACCUGGAGUCCAACCAGUCUGGUGUGGAACAGAGUCUGGGGCAGCAUUGGAGAGCACUGUGGCAACAAUCCAAGGAAUAACAGCUCAGUGUGCAGAGCACGGGCAUGAGGAAACAGGAGUGUUCCCACAGCUCAAGCCCUUGGUGUGUUUUGGGGUUUCUUUGGGGUUACUUGUCCUUCCUCAGCCUUGUGCAGGUGGCCGUGGAGGAAGGAGGACACAAUGGCUGUACCUGUCCCCAGCAGCUGCAGGGUGGGAGCUGAUUCCUGCCUGGCCUGUGCUGUGGGAGCUGAUGCCCCUGCUGUGGCAAAGAGCUGCAGUAAUGGGGGCACUUUGCUCUGGGAGGCAUCUUCCCAGUCAAGAACCAAACUUCCCGCUGCUUUUUCUGUUUCUUCUUCCUGUGCCUAGUUGAGCUGUAUGAUUUUGUUUUUAUGGAUUCAUAUUUACAAAACCCUUGUUGCAGUCUUCUCACCAGGUUGUAAUAAACCCUGAGAUAACUCUCCUUUUAAAUACAAAUUACUUUGUUUUUCUUAAAGCCAGAGCAUUAAAAGUCUUAUCACAGAAAAAGAAAAUAUUUGUAGGCUCAGCAGAGGCUUCACCAGGGUGCCUCGCUCACAUCAGGUUGUUUGGAGAAUUAAUAAUAUGUUUUCCCCUAGAUGCAUGCACAUAAAAUCCCCAAAGUCUUCAGUUGCUCAGAGAAGAUUAAGUAUUUCGAUUGUAGUGCUGGCUUUAAAAUUUAUGUUCCGAAUUAUCAGUCAGUGGUGCCAAAUGAUCUGCAAGGAAGUUUGAAUUAUACUCAGAGAGAAGCUGAAUGUUUGUGUUCCUCCACCUUUUGUUACAAGAGGGAUUUGUUUCUUUUACAAGUCGGAAUAAUCCUUAGAUCCAAGCCCACACCAUAUUAACAGCUCCUCUGUUAAGCCUGAUGCUCAGGCUUUGUCCUGAAACUGGAGCACUGCUGAAAGUGGAAAUGUUUUCAAAACCUGCUGUUACACAAGGCAAAUUCUUAUCAAUACAGAACAUUUCUGUCUUGCUGUGUGUAACAGCUUUUUGCUCAGGAGUCAUGGAUUCAAGUGGAUGUGUCUCUGGCAGCUGCAGGAGUGGGUACUGUAGAGAUUUACAAAGAUGGACAUUUAUGAGACUGAAAAUGCUCUGCUCUUCCAAGCCUGUUAAAAUGAAACAGAUCUGAUCCUCUACAAAAGAAAUUAAUGACUGAAGUAAUGUCAUCACGUCCUGAUUUUUCCUCAGUCUAAACAUAUCUUUAAACAUGAAUAAAUUGCUUUUAAAUAAGAGCAAGUGCAGCAAAAUAGUCUCAUUCACUUCUUUUUUCAUAUUAUACUAAAAUGAAUAUGGGACUACAAAAUAAUAAAAGGAUAUCCUUGUAUUUCAGCUAAAAUGUCUGAAAAUAUAUAAUGAAGUUAAAGGCAUAGCAAUUAAGCUUUUCUCUCUCAGUCUGUAAGGUACUUGAAUUUUAACUGGAACUUGAACAAGUUAAACUCAUGCAGCUAAAAGCAAAUCCCCAAAAAUAGUCUAUAACUCCCUUUGCUUCCAAUGAGAAAUUGGCCUGUGUCUGCAAAUCUCCUCAUUUGGCAGCCACACCUAAUACAGUUCAAACUCUCCCUGGCAUCAGCAAAAAAUUACCUGAUUAGGGAUGCAGGAUUGGAUCUAAGAUAAUACCAUAUUAAAAAUCCACCAUGGAUUCAGAAGCUACUAAUGGAAAUGAAAUCCCUGAGAAUAUAAAACAUUCCAAGCAGUCGAGCAGCUUCCAUUGUACAUACUCAGAAUGCUAAACAAUAGCAGCUAUUGCAUGUGUGACCAUCAGGAAACACAGCUGUGCUUCUUUGUGUUGCAAUUAAUGACUUCCGUUGUAUAUAAAAUUGAAAGUAUUGGUACUCUGGGGCGGAAAGAGGAUAUCCUGAUACACUGCUCCUGUUUCCUUACCACGGCCUAUUACUGAAUGCUUCACCAUUAAUUCACUCUCAAUGAAUUACCCUGCGUGAAUAAAGGAAGGGUACAUUGCCUGGUUAAUUGUUAUGCUAAAAGCUACUUUUUCUCUGGAUUUUCUCUCUCCUACAUUUUUAUCUCAUUUUACUACUUUUGCAUAUGCUCUCUUUGAUAGUAAUUGUUCACUUUUAAUUAGUUUCACUUAAUAAUGAAGGUCUAAAAUUAACAUUUACUUAACUAUCUUUUGACUUAAAGAUUGUUCUGUUAAGAUGUUUAAGUUACAAGAUCAGAGAAAGCACAAUCUUUCUCACUGUCCUUUAAAGAAAUGAACAAAAUCAUAUCAAGUGAAAUAUUUGUGGCCAGGUUCUCUGAAGCUGGCACACAGAGAUGUAAUUUAUACCUUUCUGUGCCAGUGAAUAUUCCUAAGCUGGAGGGGAAUGAGGAUUGUUACCCAGAGUUAGGGAGGAGUAGUAACAACCCUCUGUUAUGUGUUCUUUUUUUUUUUUUUUUUGAGAAUUGCAUAGGAGCAAGAACUGUUUGAGGUUGUACUAAAUAGGCAAAUAUGGGCCCUAAGGAAAUACACUACCCCCAAACUUUAAUAUCUACUUUUUAAUAACACUGACUCUUUCUUUUUAGAGAACUUCUGAACAGAGAGCAGCUUCUGUGGCUCCUUAGGAAGUCAAUGAAGUCUCCAACAACCACCAGCCAUGUAAGCCUAUAAAAGGUAGAUAAUGUGUUCUGUAUUUGUCUCUGAGAAUUUAAUUUCUCAGGAUGUGUCUCCUGUCCUAGAAGUCUGACAGUCUGUCACCUUUCACCACCAGACUGUUUCCAAUCCAUGCUAGGAUGUCUAAUACAAAGCUGAAUAAGUUACAUGUGGAAAUCAUGGAGUCCUUCAAUGUGAGAAUAAGUAAAUUUUGCCAAAUGAGCUGAAACCUUGGCAAGUUUGAAUUCAGACUGGUGUCAUGAUGCAGUAACAGGAGAAUAGCAGCUCAGAAGAGCUCCAUUCCAGAAACUGCUUUACAUCAUAAAAAUGUCAGAAAAUCACCAUCCACAAAACAGCCCUGUUGUCCUUUUGCUGCAGCAGCUGGCACUGGGAAUACAAUCUCAAAGGAAACUGUGCUCUGCCAUUAUUUUAUAACCACACAGUUCAGAUUCAGGCGUGCUCUGUCUGAGGCCACAGCUAGAACCAGAAUCCCUGGCUAGCUGUUUGGAUUUCUUGCAAGGACUUUUUGGCCAGAAGUAGAUGCCGUGCAGUGUACAUGCAAUAAAGCAGAAACUUUCAAUUAGUGCCAUCUAUGUAGUGCAUCCCCAGUAAAUCUCAGGAAGUCUGGUAUUUGCAGGAUGCAGAGGGCUGAGUGCACUCACAUGAGCAGCAGAGCCCACUCUGUCACCUUCUACCCCACAGCUUCCAGGCCUGUGAAAGGAACAGGAACUCUGGGCAGGCUUCUGCAUGUGCAUUAAUCACAGGGAAAUUGACAAUAUCCUUGGAAUCAGUACAGGGAAAAAUUUGCAGGAAGAAAAUCUGUCAAGGAAUGUGCAGGGAACAGCUGAAGAAUAUUUUGUUUGUGAAAGAAUAAUAGUCUUUGUUUAUAAUGCACAAAUAAAAAUUUUAUUCCUGAAAUCCUAUUUUUUAUAUGAAGCCAGAUUUUUGGAAAGUGUGCCCUUUUUUCUGCUCCCACAUCUCCUAUGCUAUCAAAACUGUGAAGUUGUUACUUCAUAAGGCAAAAAUACCUAACAGAUAACAAAACCCAGGUCUCAAGGUGCACUCAGAUUCAUGCAUUAUUCUUAAGCUAUAUAUGGUAAAUGGACUAGAUGACAACAAUUUAGGCUCAAAUAGUGCAGGUAUGAAACACAUCCACUAAAAGGAAAUCAGAAUCUCAGUUCUGAGUGUUUUAAUCCACGUAUAUCUCCCAUACAUGCAUAUAGGAAUGUUUGCAUUAGUCAACAUGAAGAUUUCUUUAAAUGAAACUAAAGCUCGAUCCCAGCAUUAUUUUCCUGUCUACAUAUGAUUAGAUCUUAAAAUCAUUUAAACACUGUAAAUCAUUAUUUUGUUUUGAAAUGAGAUCUUUCAUUCAGGCUACAGAUAUUUAUUAAACCUCCUAAAAAUCCGAAACACCCUCUUUAAUACACCAGGAGAACAAAACAAUCUAGAACAGCAAGUUUUCUGGCUUUAGUGUAGCAAGCAGCAUUCAUUCCACAAGCACUGGAAGAAUCAUCACCUUCACUCAAGUCAAGGUUGUAUUUUUAUCUAUAUCUUCUAAUUAAAAGAAAAAUAAGUCUCAACUCUUUCAGUAACACUAUACACAGUAAAACUAUGCAGAAACAGAAGAAUUUCUGCAAGAUCUGUCAUAAAUGAAAAGAAUCCAAUUUCUAAAGUAGUAAGAUUAGAAAAUACUUUUGUAAUGGAGACAGAUUUAUUAAUGAUACUUUAUGCAUACUAAUUUAUUAUUCCCUAACAGUUUUAAUCUGGAAACUUUUAAAGGAAAAAUGUUUUGUUCAAAAGUUUAGCUUUGUUUAAAAAAAUUCCUUCUUGUCUUUAUUACAGAGAAAAUUCUUGUGACUCAGCCUGACAGUCCUUAUUAGUACAGCACACGUUUGUUACUGUUUUCUUUUGAUGUAAUCUUCCUAAGAGGAGGAACAAAUGUAUUUUAACAGCUAUCCAAGGGCAUAUGUCAUAGGCUCACAGCACAGAAUUUAUGCCUGAAUAUAGUCUGAAUCUCAUCCAUAACUCUGAUCUGCCUGGGAGAACAAAGCAUUUCAUUGUGUAUUCAAUAAUGGUUUCAGCAAUCUUAUUCACACAUUCCUUCCUUUCUUAAUCAACAGAAACUGUUUGAAUUCAAGAUGCAUGAUUGGGGUGGGAGGGGCAAACAAUGCCAAAGCCUAUACUUUUGAAAUAUCCAUUUUCUUCAGAGCAAUAAUCUCUCUUUAAGAAUCCCUGUUAAGAAUCCCUUAAUGCAACAUUUGCACACAUUUUGCACCAUGUCCUUUCCUAAUGAACUUUGUUCUAUUUCCCCUUUUCCACCCUGUCAGCUGGCAUGGUGCUCUGCUUAUGCCUCUAUGCUCCCAGUUCCAACAACUGAACUCUCCAGGGAUCACAGUGCACAGUUUAGGAAGCACUGUCUUGUGCAAAGGUUGAAGGUCACAACAGACAAUCUGAAAAUCAGAAAUUUUGAUCUGACAAAAUACUGCAUACAUUCUGGGCAUUAUUUUCAAUUGCAUUUCUCAUGCACAUUGUAAGCAGAAAUUGGGGCUGGGAAAUAAAAUCAAAAAUGCUCUAAGUUCUGAUUCCUGAUGCUGUACUUGGUAAUGACAUCUAAAUUCAAGUCUGUUCAUUUAUCAUCUGACUUCUUAAUUAUGUUUAAUAUACUUAGUUGUAUCUCUAAAAUGCUUGCAUUUCUGAGGGGUGUGCAACAGGAAUGCACAAAAUGGCUUUUUGAAAAACACGUUGUUAUAUGAAGUCAUCCUUUCAUUUGUACAUAUUUCUUGGCACUAGAGCUCAGUGAGGGUGUUCAAAACACUUUGUAUUUUAAGUAACUUUUGCUAAGAAACAGUACAACUCCUACCUGAACUUAUGCAGUCAGACUUUGUUUGCAGAUGCAUCAAUGUAACUGAAGAGAGAAUUUACCCACUCCUUACAAAGUUACUAUAAACAGUAUUUGUUGACACAAUAAGGUCUGGGACUAUGCAGGUCUUGCUGAGUUACAACAUGUACUGCUAGCAGGCUGCAUCUUUUAAGCAUACUAAUAUUUGUUUAAAACAGCACUAUUUGGUCAAUAAAAUAUUCAAGACUGAUAUACAAUAAAGUGAAACCAAUGGUUUUAAUUUUUAUUUUCAGGUCUGCAGGAGAGAGUACAAGCUUGUGUAUGCUUUCUUACUGAUAUUACAUGGCUGAAAGCUGUCAACUGUUCACAUGGCAUAUUCAUAAAUAUACCCAAAUCAUAAAGUUUAACUGUUUUUGCACAUUGCUUUUAUUACUAGACUGUUUUAUUCAUGUUUGCACAGAUAAUCCAUGCAAGGUAAUUACUCACAUCUCAUAAACCACCAGACAUUCUGUUCUGAAAUAACUAGGAACUCAGGAAAAAAUAUCUAUCUAAAAGCAAGGGCACUUGUGGCAUCAAGGCAACAUGUCAAAAUAUUACAAAACCUAGACUUCUAAUAUAUGAUCACUGCAGGCAAUAAAUCACUCAGUUUCAAAUUCUGAUGUUUAUAAAUACUAAACACUGUAAUAUCCACUACCAGGAUAUGAGUAUUGCAAAAAAAAACAUUAAUGUGCCCAGCAUUAGACACUAAUGAAUGUGUUCAGUGCUGUGGACAUUCACAUUAUUAAACAUAAAUACAAGUAAUCUUCAGCAAAACAUUUCACCCAAAGUACUGACCACUGAAGGACCAAUGGAAAAAUACUUUUCCUUGUCUUGAAUUGGUUUUUGAAUUGAGAAUUGUAAAAUGUGUGAAUCCAAUGUAGUGAAGACUAAUGAAAAAAAGGUCCUAAAACUGUUUUUUUUUUUGUCCAGGUAAUAAAAGUAGCCUUAUUUGGAAACAUUUAAUUUGCCUCAUUCUGCAAAAAGAACAUCAAAAGAGAGAAAAGCAUUAAAAACAGCUUUUGAAUCCUUUGACUGAAAAGUUAUUGAACACUUUUUAGUUAGACAAAAGACUGAUCUUUUAAAUUGGUCAUUCAGAGGUACAGUACCUUUGUUUUAUUGGGUAAAAACUCACGUUAAUUAGAAUGAAAAGAAAUAUUCAGAAGAACUUAGGACUUAUCUCAGGCAUCUCUUACAAGACAUGAAACAUAAUCAAGUACACAUUAUUCAUCUUGUAUAUUUUUGUACAACAUUAUUUUCCAUGAUAGUUAAAAGGUCAUAUUUUGAAUUUUAGAGAUAUAUAUUAUUAUAUAUAUAAGCAUUUACCCUCUCCAUAUCACAAAUGUGACACAGCAGAAGAGUAUCAGCAGUUAUGUGGUAUUCUACCCCUGUGAAAGUUAAAAUGCUACAUUAUUAUUCACAAAUUUCUGGUUCAGAUAUGUGCAAAAAUUAUAUCUUAAUAUAGAUAUCAGGGGCAGGUACGUGGAUUCCCUAUUUUUGGACCACAUUAUGAAGCAGCACAAGUCAUAACAGGAAAUUUUUAUUACAUGAUAAUCCUCAGGGUAUCUCUGUUCUUCACUCAGAGAUAUCGCUGUACCUCAUAGAGUGAUAUGUAAACUAGCUUUAAUCUCUCUUGCUCAGACACCAGCUGGAGCCAGGGCAUGUGCUACAGUGCAGGUUCUCUGCCCAAGGAACUUUUCAGGACUCUCUCAAGCCAGUACAGCUCCCACUGAAGUCUGCGCUGCUGCCACCCUGCAAGCCAGCUCAGCUCUGCUCACACACACUGCAUUCCCUCUCCUGCAGCCCAGACUUCAGAUGUGCCACACUGGAUCCUUGCUCACCCCUCUGUACGUAUCCAAACCAUCUCUCUGGGCUAUGGCGAGCUACUUGCACCCUAAUUUCUCACUUGAAGCCCUCUCCCUGGCUGUAGUGAUCCUGGCUGCCCCCAGCCAGCCUCCCCUGCCCCACCCAACUCUGACAUGCCAGCGUGGUGGAACUGCCCUUACCUGGCUAUUCCCUGCUCCAACCCCAGCCUCAGGAAGGGCCCCCCAUCUUUCCCACUCAACCAGAGGCCGCAGAGCCCCUGCGCUGUGGCAGCCUCAGGUGCUCGCUGUGCGGUGCCAGCCUCCGCUCCCCUGCCCGCCCUGGCAGCCCCAGGCGGUACCUGCAGGGGCCGUGAGGAGCUGCAGCCCAGCCACGCUGCCUGCCCGCAGCUCUCCACCGACUGCACUCCCUGACUGCAGCCCCACAGCUCCGGCCACACCCUAAAAUGAUGUAUCCUCCGUGGUGCCAGUGAAGAGGGAGCUUAGAGGGACAUUGAGGGGGAAGGUGGAGGGGAGAGUGACACACACAUAUAAACACAUGCAGAUCAGAGGGGAAAGACCUCGUGAAAUUCUCCCGAGGCAUCCAUCACAAGCCCUUCCCAUGGAGCCUGACUCCCUGUUCUGAUGUUGCAGUCAGAGAUUAGUCCCAGUCAGUGGCCAACACUGACACAAAUCUGCCUAAAGAAUAUCUUCAAUGCAGUCUCAGGAUAGAGUAUGCUGAUGUGAAUUCUCUCAAAUAACAGAUAAUAAUAAACAGCAUUUUGUUGAAUGGCACUGAGAAAUGAAAAGGAAAUGUAGAAUUUUCUCACUGUUGUGAAUAUGUAUUUAAUGAAGUCAAAUAGAAGCGGAAAAAAUAUUUAACUUCCAUAAUUAUGAUUUAUGAGCCAGAUCUUUGGAGUUUGUAAUCUAUGGGACCAUAUUCACACCAGCCCAGCACCGACUGAAAACAGAAAAUUUGCUUGCUUACAGAAAAAAAUCCAAAACAAACAAACAAAAAAA